UGCCAUAAGGUCAGUAUUACCCCUUAUGGCAUGAAUGUCGCAUGUCGCA
rnacentral:ncRNA from 1 species